rnacentral:rRNA from 1 species
CCCUUAGAUGUUCUGGGCCGCACGCGCGCUACACUGAUUCAUGCAACAAGUUUUGUCCUUGGCUGAUAGGCCUGGGUAAUCUUUGAACGUGAAUCGUGAUGGGGAUAGAUGAUUGCAAUUAUUCAUCUUCAACGAGGAAUUCCUAGUAAACGCAAGUCAUCAGCUUGCAUUGAUUACGUCCCUGCCCUUUGUACACACCGCCCGUCGCACCUACCGAUUGAAUGGUCCGGUGAAAUCUUCGGAUCUGAGAGAUGUCUGAUUAAUUUCGGACGCCUUUUGGAAAAGUUGUUUAAACCUUNCNAUUUAUNGGAAGGUGAANUCGUANCA